GACGAACACUGGCGGCGUGCCUAAUACAUGCAAGUCGAACGCAGUGGGGACGGGUGAGUAACACGUGGGUAACCUCCCAUCAGAGGGGAUAACACUUGGAAACAGGUGCUAAACCGAUACUGAUGGAUGGACCCGUGUUGCAUUAGCUAGUUUGUGAGGUAACGGCACACCAAGGCCACGAUGCAUAGCUGAUCGGAGAUGGUGAUCGGCCACACUGGGACUGAGACACGGCCCAGACUCCUACGGGAGGCAGCAGUGGGGAAUCUUCGGCAAUGGACGAAAGUCUGACCGAGCCACGCCGCGUGAGUGAAGAAGGUUUUCGGAUCGUAAAGCUCUUUUGUUAGAGAAGCGUUAUCUAACCAGAAAGCCACGGCUAACUACGUGCCAGCAGCCGCGGUAAUAC
rnacentral:rRNA from 1 species